rnacentral:ncRNA from 1 species
AAGGAUUCAGUGAAAAAGAGAGUACUUCAUUUUAAUUAACAAAGCGAUUUCGGGAGGGUGAGAGCCGAAAAUAAUGAAAUGAAGGAAGCGCACUUUGGAGAAUCUGCAGAUGCAGACGGCAAUCUACCGUUAUCAGAUUAAGUGGGUUCAUAUUUUUAUGGACAAGUAGAGUGGUACCGCGGGAAAAUCUCGUCUCUGGU